ACCUGGCUGGCUCAGUCUGAAGAGCAUGUGACUCUUGAUCUUGGAGUCGUGAGUUCGAACUCCAUGUUAGGUG
rnacentral:tRNA from 1 species